UUUUAUUAGAAAUCAUUAAUAAUAAAAUCUGCUCAAUGAUAAUUAAAUAGCCGCAUUUUAGUGCUAAGGUAGCAUAAUCAUUUGUCUUUUAAUUAAAGACUAGAAUAAAAGAUUUUACAUUUUAACUUUUUUGAACAAAUUUAACUAUAAAAAUUAAUUUAAUCGUAAAAAAGCUAUUAUAAAAUUAAAAGACGAUAAGACCCUAUUGAACUUAACUUUAGUUAAACUGGGGAAGUUAAUUAAAAAAAAUUUUAAUAAAAAUAAUUAUAAAAAUUAGAUCUAACAUAAUUAAUUUCUUAAACAAGUUACCAUAGGGAUAACAGCAUAAUAUUAUUUUAAAGCUCAUAUAAAAAAUAAAACUUAUGACCUCGAUGUUGACUUAAUAUCCUUUUUUGUGCAAUAAUAAAAAAAGGAAGUCUGUUCGACUUUUAAAAAAUUACAUGA
rnacentral:rRNA from 1 species